rnacentral:tRNA from 1 species
GAGGGUAUAGCUCAGUGGUAGAGCGCAUGUCAGUGGUAGAGCGCAUGCUUAACAUGCAUGACGUCUUGGGUUCAAUCCCCAGUACCUCCA